rnacentral:rRNA from 1 species
AUGGGCGGCGAGAACAAGGAGGCGGCUGCGCUGGUGAAGAAGAUCGCCGGCCUGCACGCCGCCAUCUCCAAGCUACCGUCCCUGAGCCCGUCUCCCGAGGCGGACGCGCUCUUCACCGCCCUCGUGGCCGCGUGCGCCCCGCCGAGCGCCGCCGUCGACGUGGCCACGCUGGGCCCGAGGGCCCGGAGGAUGCGGGCCGACCUCGUCCGCCUCUGCGCCGACGCCGAGGCGCGCCUCGAGGCGCGCUGCUCCGACGCGCUGGCCGCCCUCGACGCCCCGCUCGACCACCUCAGGCUCUUCCCCUACCACGACAACUACGUCCGGCUGGGCGAGCUGGAGCACGCGCUGCUGUCCCGCCACGCGCCCGACCACCUCGCCGUGCCCGCGCGCGUCGCGUUCCUCGGCUCGGGAUCCCUGCCGCUCAGCGCGCUCCUGCUCGCCGCGCGCCACAUGCCCGACGCGGCCGUCGACUGCUUCGACCGGUGCGGCGCCGCCAACGAGCGCGCGCGGAGGCUGCUCCUCCGCGGGAACGACGCCGGCAACGUGGCCGCGCGCAUGUCGUUCCGCACGGCGGACGUCGAGGGCCUCACGCACGAGCUCGCCGCAUACGACGUGGUCUUCCUGGCGGCGCCCGUCGGCGUGGCGCCGGAGGAGAAGGCCCGCGUGAUAGCGCACCUCGGCCGGCACAUGGCCGCCGGCGCCGCCCUCGUUGUGCGGAGCGCGCACGGGGCCCGUGGCUUCCUGUGCCCCGUCGUGGAGCCCGCGGAGGUCAGGCGGGGCGGGUUCCAGGUGUUGGCCGUGCACCAUCCCGAGAACGCCGAGAUGGUCUACUCCGUCAUUGUCGCACGUAAGGGCUACCUCGAGCUCGUGCCACCGGUGGUGAGCCCGCCGUGCAGCUGCUGCGAGGUGGAGAAGGCGCGCCGCAGCGUGCCGUCAACGAGCUGUCACCUUGACGCCAUGGACGAAAUCCGGAGGCGCGCAUGGUGA